GAUGAACGCUGGCGGCGUGCUUAACACAUGCAAGUCGAACGGGAACUUUUCAUUGAAGCUUCGGCAGAUUUGGUCUGUUUCUAGUGGCGGACGGGUGAGUAACGCGUGGGUAACCUGCCUCACACUGGGGGAUAACAGUCAGAAAUGACUGCUAAUACCGCAUAAGCGCACGAGACCGCAUGGUUUUGUGUGAAAAACUCCGGUGGUGUGAGAUGGACCCGCGUUGAUUAGCCAGUUGGCAGGUAACGGCCUACCAAGCGACGAUCCAUAGCCGGCCUGAGAGGUGAACGGCACAUUGGACUGAGACACGGCCCAGACUCCUACGGGAGCAGCAGUGGGAAUAUGCACAAUGGGGGAAACCCUGAUGCAGCGACGCCGCGUGAAGGAAGAAGUAUCUCGGUAUGUAAACUUCUAUCAG
rnacentral:rRNA from 1 species